rnacentral:rRNA from 1 species
AGCGGCGGACGGGUGAGUAACGCGUGGGUAACCGUGCCUCAUACAGGGGGAUAACAGUUGGAAACGGCUGCUAAUACCGCAUAGGCGCACAGUACCGCAUGGUACCGUGUGAAAAACUCCGGUGGUAUGAGAUGGACCCGCGUCUGAUUAGCUGGUUGGUGGGGUAACGGCCUACCAAGGCGACGAUCAGUAGCCGACCUGAGAGGGUGACCGGCCACAUUGGGACUGAGACACGGCCCAA